GGGAGUAUAGCUCAGUGGUAGAGCGCAUGCUUAGCAUGUAUGAGGUCCUGGGUUCAAUCCCCAGUACCUCCA
rnacentral:tRNA from 1 species